rnacentral:rRNA from 1 species
CAGUCGCCGCGGUAAUACGGAGGGGGCUAGCGUUGUUCGGAAUUACUGGGCGUAAAGCGCACGUAGGCGGCUUGGUAAGUUAGAGGUGAAAGCCAGGAGCUCAACUCCGGAAUUGCCUUUAAGACUGCCGAGCUAGCAGGUGAGAGAGGUAAGUGGAAUUCCGAGUGUAGAGGUGAAAUUCGUAGAUAUUCGGAAGAACACCAGUGGCGAAGGCGGCUUACUGGCUCAUACUGGACGCUGAGGUGCGAAAGCGUGGGGAGCAAACAGGAUUAGAUACCCCCGUAGUCCCUGUCUCUUAUAC